UGGGGAAUAUUGCACAAUGGGCGCAAGCCUGAUGCAGCCAUGCCGCGUGUAUGAAGAAGGCCUUCGGGUUGUAAAGUACUUUCAGCGGGGAGGAAGGGAGUAAAGUUAAUCCCUUUGCUCAUUGACGUUACCCGCAGAAGAAGCACCGGCUAACUCCGUGCCAGCAGCCGUGGUAAUACGGAGGGUGCAAGCGUUAAUCGGAAUUACUGGGCGUAAAGCGCACGCAGGCGGUUUGUUAAGUCAGAUGUGAAAUCCCCGGGCUCAACCUGGGAACUGCAUCUGAUACUGGCAAGCUUGAGUCUCGUAGAGGGGGGUAGAAUUCCAGGUGUAGCGAUGAAAUGCGUAGAGAUCUGGAGGAAUACCGGUGGCGAAGGCGGCCCCCUGGACGAAGACUGACGCUCAGGUGCGAAAGCGUGGGGAGCAAACAGG
rnacentral:rRNA from 1 species